rnacentral:rRNA from 1 species
GACGGAGGAUGCAAGUGUUAUCCGGAAUCACUGGGCGUAAAGCGUCUGUAGGUUGUUUAUAAAGUCUGCUGUUAAAGGUUGAAGCUUAACUUCAAAAAUGCCGUAGAAACUUUUAAACUAGAGGAUGGUAGGGGUAGAGGGAAUUUCCAGUGGAGCGGUGAAAUGUGUAGAUAUUGGAAAGACCACCGAUGGCGAAGGCACUCUACUGGGCCAUGACUGACACUGAGAGACGAAAGCGAGGGGAGCAAAUGGG